ACAGGAGAUCGACCAUAGACAAGUCCAUGUGCACUUCAAUUUCGAUCGAUCAUAUGUUUUCUUUGUGUAGUUUUUUCAGCCGCUGUAAUUCGAAUUGGUUAUAAAGUUCACGUGUUAAAUUGCCUGAAAACCCUCAAUAAUCGGCUCGUAGUGCAAUAUUGACGCUCGUAUGGUGUCUCUAGUGUGUGGAUAUAUAAAAUUUUGAGACAAAAUUACGUGGUGCAUAAUAGGUGCAUUUCUAUGUGCACGUGCUUGCAUUUUUCAGGCUAAUUGUAAAGUUUCAGAUUAAAAGUGCGUUGCAAGGUGACCUUAGAUUCAUAAGAGCUGUCCUAUUUAUGCAACCACCUCCGCCCGAGCCCAAUUUUUCGGUUUAUCCUAUAAAAAACGUGUGUACAACAGUGUAAAAUAAGUUUGAAAUCUUAGGUUGGAAAAUACUUUAGUGGUUUUAUUUCAACCCAGUGUCGUCAUGAAUCUCGCAUCCUGGAUUAGUAUUUCGUUGGAUGAAGUGUCUGUGGGUGAGUACCGCACUACUUGGAUGCUUCAAUUCCGUUUGAAUGUAAGGAGAUUCAUGCGGUUCACUGGCCGAUAAACUGUGAUAACAAAUGAGGUUGAAGGCGGCCCCUUGAUAACAACUAUGGUACCUUCCAUACACCGCACGCCACCACUUGCAGCAAUGAUCUAACGCGACCCGUCCGAAGCUCAGCAUUAUUUCAUCUAGCGUUAAGUUUAUUUCCGUUCACCAUUAUAUUAGACUCAUAAUGUUAGAAUCAAACCGUGUAAAAUAUUUGUUUCUACAAGCCCUAGUUUGAUGUGGAAUAUUACGAAAUGUGUAGUCGAUACUCAUCACCGGUCUUUUACUUACAUUGUUAGUACCUUCUCUAUAACGUGAUAGUGCUCUACCGCAGUUUCGUAUAUUCUUAGGGAGAUUUGAUUCAUGACUUGAAGAAGUCCAAUAUUGUUACAUUAAGUAAUAUAUUUACCAUCAGUUAUGGUAAAAUCUCGGAGGAAAAUGCAAAAAUGCUCCUUUAGUUUAUAAGUUUUAUGACUUUUGUGAUCUUUACAACGUUUUUUCCGUUUUCCUCCGCGAUCGUCUCAAGUUCGCGCAUUUUCAUUGUUUUAUUACUCAAUUGUUUAUUUGUGUUGUCUAUACGUGUUUUGAAUUAUAUUGACUAACAAAUACUAAACAAUUCUAACGCAUGACUCCUUAUUUUUACUAUAUCAACUCGCGAGUAUGCAUGACAUCAAAUAAUGUUGUUUUAAUAGUUUAAUCAUUUUAGUUUUAAUUGUUUUUGUUCAAUAUUUAGACAACCUGCUACACUGACAUGUUUAUAUUUUAAUUAAGUUUAAUAGUUUAUUGUAAUUUAUAUAUAUUGAUUGUGUUUACUUCAACAAUUUGUAAAUUUUGUCAAUCAUCAUUAUCGUAUCAGUCGUAUACAGUCUUACGCCUUGCUCCAUAAAACUUGAUUUUACGUUAAACUGUGAUCGCUUAAAUUCGAGUUUUAGUUCAUGCAUGGCAAUUCCCGGGGUUGCUUUCUAGUUUUUUUAUUAAGAAAAAUUUGAUUAUGCAAUCUGUUAAUUACAUCAAUCAGUUAAAUUAAUCAAUGAAAAAGUAAUUGUAAUUGUUUUUAUUUGUAAUGAUUUUAAAUUGGAUUAUAAUAAACAUUUCGGCAUGAA